GUUUCUCAACUAUUCCCUCAACUGGAAUUUUUACUUCAACAUUGUAUUUCACUUAAGGAUACUGAAAAUUUUACAUAGGCAUUGAUAACCCUACCUACUGAGGUCUGAGAUGGACUAAAUUCUCCCACUAUGUUCAAGCCUACUCAAAUCUCUAAAAUGCAUUUUUCCACUUACACAUCAUAAUGACAUUCAAGCCUAUCAUCAUAACUAUAGCCUCGUGUGAAACAAGCAUGCAACAAUCUUUCCUUAACAUGAAAUAUUUACUCUCUCCCAUCCAAGAAACAACAUCACUACAUCAUUUCAUAAGGAGAGCUCACUGAAGGUUAAAACAUGAGGACCUAAAGCAUGAAUGGACACUAUACAGAACUUGACACUGAACAAAGGCCAGAGGAAUAGAAUAUCAACAUCAUAGAUUUAUCAAAAGAUCUAAACUAAGGGUAUACAUGACAUAAUCUAUAUUUAGCUGAUUAUUAGGAGUGUAGCAUGAGUCAUAGGAACUGAGCAUACUAUAAAGCAUGAGUACACGAGACAUGAGUCAUGAGCUGCAUGACCUGAGUUUGGAUUUUCUGUAUUCAUGGAACAUAAUUCAUAACACUGAGAUAAUUGGAACUCCUUAUACUAAGAACUAUAAGCGUACAUGAUUUUUGAUAAUGUACAUGAAUAUGAGUUAUGAUCAUAAAGAUAACAUGUAGGGCAUGAGUAGAUAUCGUGAUAGCUGAAGUACAAAACUUUGCAUUGAGGUAAAGAUGGGUUGGGCAUUAUCCUCUCCCGCCGAUUUUCUACACAGAUUGACAUUACUACUAAAAUCUGAAAGCCUGACUUAGUUACUUGUUUUACCAUCUCCCCCUUAGCUUAAACCCGUUAUUCCAAGUUUGUGAACCACUUAAUCAAUAACUCUAAACCGAACUACCACCACUUUACCCUAGAUUCAAGGGUAGACACUGAGGAGGGCUCUGCUAAUAUUUCAGGUUUGACACCGAAGUUGAUGGCUAUAUAGGGGUUACAAAAGAAGUAAAGGCUCAUAAUCUACAAAGCAUAAACAUAAAGAUGAAAGACUCAUAACAAACCUGUAACUAUAUUAGAAAAAAUUUCCUGAUCUUGUUUAAACUGAAUUGCAUAAAGCUUGUUUGUGUGUUACCCACUGGUGGCAUUAGAGGUGGCACCCUGCUGAUUCGGGCUACCUGACUGAGCUAAGGGAUGAUUGUACAACCCUGUGAACCUGACUGAGGACAAUCUCUGAUAAUAUGGCCUAGCUUGCCAUACCCAAAACAAAUAUUAAUGCCAGCCCUACACAUACCCUUAUAAUUCUUACCACAUUCUCCGUAAAGUGGAUUAGUGUGGACACUCUUCCCACUACCUCUUGACUUAGAGCCUGGUGCCCCAUCUUGACUGUCAUUCCUAAGCAUAGACAAUGGCACCCUGACUGAAGGCAAAACAGGGGCUCAGAAUCUCUGACAGAGUUGGGAGUGGUUACAAUCCCGUGAUCUUAUCUUAACACUAAUUGUUCUGGCCUUCUUAUUACUUCUUUCCUUUUUUCUACACUCCCUUCCCUCACUCUGUUAAGCAUGAAUCAAAAGGCUAGAUAUAAUGAUAGCCUGUAAAUUAUUCUGAGAAACUACUGAAUACACUAGGGUAAUGAAAACAUCUCUAAAUUCGGUUUGAGUGACAUACUCAUUCGAGGGAUUUUUUCAAACCGGCGGAGGUACUGGCUAGUUUCCGAUUCUUCUUCUGUUAGCCUUUUUGGGAGGCAUGUUCAUAAAUGGAAGGGAAACUUAGAUUAGACAGAGAGUUUAUCUUGAUCUUAUGCUCACUUGCACGACAUAAAUACUAAAAGAAGGGAAACUUUCCUAAGAACAUCUUGUAGCCUCUUUCCCACAAGUGUGACGCGCGACACACACAUGCAUAAGACUCUACUAGAUGUGGCUUUCAGACUCCCUAGGAAUAUAUUAAACCUUAGGCUCUAAUACCAAUUUUGUAAUGCCCUGAGUCUGUACCCUGGAGCCACACGGUGCUUACGAUCCCGAGAGACCACAAGCUAACCCAUGAGCUAGUACCUGCUGUGAGCAUUGAAUAAUAAUACUAAAAUAAUAUAGAAAAUAGGCUGAAAUACCAUAAGGUUCACAAUCCAAAUUACUGGUAAAUAAUAAUAUCUGAUAAAACAUCUGAGAUCUAAAUACUGUCUGAACUAGUUUAGUCUGAAAAACCUCUAACUGAACUAUCUGAAAGUAGAGUUGAUGGGACAAGCCCCCAACUAAAUUUGACUACUGUAAAUGUUGAGUCUACUGUAAAACUAAAAUAAAAUCAUAUCCUCGAUAGAUAAGGACUCACUACUAUAAUCUGAUACUGCUGACUAAAUCUGACUAAGCGCAAUUAGGAACCUCAGCAUCCAAACCUAUGAUAUGAGAUAUCAUAGAGCAAAGAAAGAGUAUGCAUCAGUACGUGAAAUGUAAUGGUAUACUAGAUAAGGUAAGGCUGAAUGCAGGGUUUUAUAUGCAUGAACAAUAACUGACUGAAUGAUAUAGAGUAACUAAAUAUAAAGUACAUGGAUAACUAAAAUGCUAUUAAUACUGUGUAUGCAAUAUGUGCAUAUAUGUGUAUGUAUACUAUAUCUGAGCUUUUACUUAAGUUGAGUACUGAUUUUUGAUAUUGAAUAACUGAUAUCUGAGAUUACUGAUAACUAGGCGACUGUGUCUGACAGUCCUGAUCCUAUAGAACUGAACUGAGUUCUAAAAUGAGACUGAUACUAAAACUGUGGGAGUUAAUCAUCUAACCGAUAUGCCCCUCUCUAAAUUGAUUAGGGUCCAACCUGUAACCCUAGUUGAAAGGGUGUCAGUACCGUGCUACGGGUACUAACAAUGGAUGUAAGUCAACCCUAACUGGGAAGAAGAUAUUUUGUCAACCCUCACUGAUAAAAAAACACAUGAGAGAUAUGUCAACCCUUAUCUGGCAGGAAAUCAUCUUAACCUACGCUGGCUAAGGGUCAAACCCUCUACUAGAAGGAAUGCCCCCAUCCCGGGGUUCGCUCGGUGCUGAAUUCUACUCCCAACUGAAUAGAAACUAAAUUGAUCACUAAACUGUACUAGGCUGGACUGAACUUUUACUGAUCUUGUUAACUGAAUGAACGGGUCUGAGUUCACUGAGUUCUGUAACUGACUGAGUAAGCGUGCUACUAUUCAUGACACUACUAAGACUAUUUUGAAGCUACUGUAAUUCUAGUUUAACAACUAGGCUUUCGGGUAUUAAAUACCCCCAGGACUCGAUAGCAUUGAAAGUAAAGCAUAGCAUGAUCUUAAAAAGCAUAAUAAUGUCCAUUUGUUCAUAAUUCAUUCAUAGAGACAUUUUAUCAAACACUUGUAGGGCAUAAUCUUGUAUAUAUGCUUGCAUGUCAUGAUUUCACCAUUUAAUUCACAUGGAAUUCUAUCAAACACUUGGGAAGCACAAAUUAAUGCAUACAAUCUUGGACAACAUAUGAGCAUUGUAACUACCACACCCAAACUUGUAAAUUCAAGAGUUAUAACAUGAGAAUUAUAUAAUUUAAUAUACUCCGUCCGUCUUAUUUUAUGUGUCAUUAUUUCCUUUUUAGUCUGUCUCAAAAAGAAUGUCAUCUUUUCUUAUUUAGCAAUUAUUUAAAGAUACAAUUCCACUUUUAUACUUAUUGGUCCCACUUAAUUAAAAAAAGACACUAGCACAUUUUUUUAUAAAGGACAAUUUGGUAAACAUUACCAAGUCUUUCCUUAUUUUUUAAACUCCAUUCCCAAUCAAAUGGUGAAACAUAAAAUGGGACGGAGAUAGUAUAUGCUAUUUCAAUUUCAUCAAACUUACAAUUUAUCAUGGAUUGGAACUCAAAUAAUAUCAUGAACAUGAAUACAAUCCAAUUUAAACAUGUAAAUCAUAAAUCUGAGAUCUUGUAUGUUUAAAAAGAGUUCUUGGGCUUCAUGGGUAAAAGGAUCCCAUGAUGAACACCUAACGUACCUGAGAAGAAGAGUUUUUGAAGGUUCUUGGAGGAAUUCUUAAGCUUUGUUCUUGUUUCUUAAAAACUAGGGUUUACUAACUAAGAGAGAAUGUUUUCAAUCUUGAGAGAAGUGAGUAAAUGAUGAUAUAGUAGGUUAUAUAGGGGCUUAAUUUUGUGUUUAGGAUGAUUAGGGGUUUUGGUAUUUGACCAAACAACCCUUGAAAUAAAAUGACAGAAACUAUUUUACACGGUGGGAUUGUGAUGGCUCACUGGAUUUUUACAAUUUCCAUUUGCACCAGUACUAGGUGGUACACUAUUUUACCAAAACUGCUCUAACUCUUCGCCUGGGUAUUGGAUUUGGGCAAAUUUUAUAUUGUUGGAAAGCUGACUGAAUUUCCUAUGCCAUGGCAGAUAUUAAACUGAAAAAUUCCAAGUAUUUUGAAAAAUUUAUAUUGGAAUACUCAUUUACUAAAAGUUAAAUUGAGUUAGGAAAAUACGGGGUAUUACACUUUGAUUGACUUGCUUGUGUUAGAUAUGAUCGAUUUUGAUGUUAUUUUGGGCAUGGAUUUUUUGGCUCCUUAUCAUGCUGUCUUAGAUUAUUUUGCUAAGACUAUGACUUUAGCUUCACCAGGUGUGCCAAGAAUAUCUUGGAAGGGUGCAUUUCAUUUAGUUCCUAAGAGGAUUACAUCUUUUGUUUAUGCUCAUAAGUUAGUUGAGAAGGGGUGUUUAUCUUACUUGGAUUAUAUUUAUGACACCAAUGUUAUAUCACCUCCUUUCUUAGAUUCUAUCUGUAUUGUCUGUAAGUUUAUGGAUGUGUUUCUAUGGAUUUUCCUGGUAUGUCUUCAGAUCGAGAUAUUAAUUUUCCUAUUAAUGUUAAGUCGGGAACCAAGCCUAUUUCUAUUCCUCCUUAUAGGAUGUCCCCAAUAGAGUUGAAGGAACUGAAGGAUUAGUUGUACGAAUUGUUGGACAAGGGAUUUAUCUGACCUGGUGUUUCACCUUGGGGUGCACCUGUCUUGUUUUUAAAGAAAAAAAUAGGUAUAUGCAGAUGUAUAUUGAUUAUCGAUAGUUGAAUAAGGUGACGAUAAGAAUAAGUAUCCUCUUCCUCGCAUUGAUGAUUUAUUUGAUCAACUUCAGGGUGCUACAGUGUUUUUAAAAAUUAAUUUGAAGUCCAGUUAUCACUAGUUGAGGAUUAGAGCUUUGGAUAUUUUAAAGAUAGCUUUUCAGACACAAUAUGGUCAUUAUGAGUUCUUGGUCAUGUUCUUUGGGUUGACCAAUGCCCUUUGUCUCAUUCAUAAAGUUGAUGAACUGGGUGUUUCAACCGUAUCUUGACUCCUUUAUUAUUGUAUUUAUAGAUGAUAUAUUGGUGUAUUCCAAGAGUGAGGUUGAGCAUGAAAAUCAUUUGUGGAUUGUGCUUCAAAAUUUGAGAGAUGAGAAGUUGUAUGCUAAGUUCUCUAGGUGCGAGUUUUGGUUAGAGUUUGUUUCUUUCUUGGGUUAUGUAGUGACUAAUAAUGGUAUUAUGGUGAUAACUUUUCAGACUUGAUAUGGUCAUUAUGAGUUCUUGGUCAUGUUCUUUGGGUUGACCAAUGCCCCUACUGCUUUCAUAAAGUUAAUGAACCGGAUGUUUUAAUCGUAUCUUGAAUCCUUUGUUAUUGUAUUUAUAGAUGAUAUCUUGGUGUAUUCCAAGAGUGAGGUUGAGCAUGAAGAGUAUUUGUGGAUUGUGCUUCAGAUAUUGAGGGAUAAGAACUUGUAUGUUAAGUUCUCUAAGUGCAAGUUUUGGUUGGAGUUUGUUUCUUUCUUAGGUUAUGUGGUGACUAAGAAAGGUAUUAUGGUUGAUUCAUCCAAGGUUAAAAUAGUUCGUGAUUAGGAUAAACCUACUUUGCCCACUGAGAUUCAAAGUUUUGUUGGCUUGGUAGGUUAUUAUCGGUAUUUUGUUGAGGGUUUUUCAUCUAUUGCAGCUCCAUUAACCAAGUUAACCCAGAAGAAGAUUUUUUUCAGUGGUCUGAUGCUUGUAAGGCGAGCUUUCAAAAGCUCAAGAAUUUAUUGACUUCAGCUCCUAUCUUGACUUUGCCUAACGAGCACAUGAGUUUUACUAUCUUUUGUAAUGCUUUAAGUGUUGGGUUAGGUGUUGUGUUAAUGCAGAAGGUCAAGGUGAUUGCUUAUGAGUCUCGUCAGUUAAAGCCUCAUGAGAGGAAUUAUCCUACCCAUGAUUUGGAGUUGUAUGCAAUUGUGUUUGCCUUAAAGUUGUGGAGGCAUUAUUUGUAUGGAUUCCAUUAUGAGUUUUUCUUAAAUCAUCGUAGUCUUUAGUACUUCCUUACCCAGCAAGAUCUUAAUAUGAGGCAACAUCAUUGGCUUAAGUUUCUUAAGUACUAUGACUUGACUAUUCUCUACAAUCCAGGCAAGGAUAAUGUAGUUGCGAAUACUUUAAGCCAAAAGUUAACUAUCAUAGGUAGAUUGGUGCAUCUUUUGACCCAAGAGAAGCCUUUGGUCUUAGAGGUUCAAUCUUUAGCUAACCAGAUAGUUAGACUUGAUAUUUUGAUACCUGGGUGUAUUUUGUUUUUUGUGGUCUAGAUCUUCUUUGAUGGAGUAGAUUCAAGCUCAUCAGUUUGAUGAUGUUAGAUUGAGGUUGGUUUAAGAUAAGGUGUUGAGUGGGGAAGCUAAGGAAGCCUCACUUAAUCAGAUAAAGUUUUGCGGAUUGGAGGUCGAGUUUGUAUGUUGAGAGUGGGUAAUUGGAUUAGGUUGAUCUUGGAGGAGGCCCAUUGUUCCAGAUAUUCUAUCCAUCUAAGCGUGACUAAGAUGUAUCAUGAUUUGAGGCAGCAUUACUGGUGGGGCGGUAUGAGGUGAGAUAUAGAAGAUUUUGUGGCUCGUUACCUAUGUUAUCAGCAGGUGAAGGCCAAGCAUUUGAUACCUGGUGGGUUACUUCAGAGGUUACCCAUUCCCGAGUAGAAGUGGAAAAAUAUCCCUAUGGACUUCGUGACUGGGUUACCUCAUACUUCUUAUGAUUCUGACAUUGUUUGGGUCAUCGUGGAUCGAUUGACCAAAUUAACUCAUUUUAUUCUGGUUCAAGUCUUAUUCAGUGCUGAACGGUUAGCUCGUAUCUACAUUUGUGAGAUUAUGUGUCUGUAUGGUGUGUUAGUGUCUAUUAUUUCAGAUUGAGGUUCUGUGUUCACAUCUUAUUUUUGGAAGACUUUUCAUAAUGAGUUGGGUACUCGGGUUGAUCUUAGCACAAUGUUUUACCCCUAGAUUGCUGGUCGGUCAGAGCGGACUAUCUAGGUUUUGGAGGAUAUGCUUCAAGCAUGCAUGAUGGAUUUUGGUGGCUAGUGGGAGCAGCAUUUGGCUUUAGUAGAGUUUGCAUAUAAUAAUAGCUACCAUUCCAGUAUUGAUAUGGCCCCUUUUAAGGCAUUGUAUGGUAGGAGUUUUCACUCCCCAGUGGGUUAGUUUGAUGUUUUAGAGGUGAUACCUUGAGGUAUAGACUUUCUUCGUGAGUCUUUGAAUAGAGUUUGGGUCAUUCAGGAUAGACUUAGAGUGACUCAGAGUAGGCAGAAGUGCUAUGUUGAUCAUAGACUUUGUUCCUUGAUAUUUGGUGUUAGUGAUCAUGUUUUCCUUCGAGUUUCACCUAUGAAGGGUAUGAUGAGGUUUAGGAAGAGGUAAAAGCUUAGCCGCAGGUAUAUUGGUCCAUUUGAGAUUCUUUAGACUAUUGGUGAUAUGGCUUAUGAGUUGGCCUUGCCCCCUGAUCUAUCAGUUGUUCAUCCAAUUUUUCAUGUUUCUAUGCUUCAUUGCUAUAUUCCUGAUGAGUCUCAUGUCAUUCGUUGGGAGUCAGUUUAGUUAGAUAAGCGGUUGUCCUUUGUUGAAGAGCUGGUAUCCAUUUUGGCUAAGGAUGUUAGGCGAUUGCACUCUAGAGUUAUCCCUGUGGUUGAAGUUCAGUGGCGACAUCGACCUAUAGAUGAGGCAACUUGGGAGGUUGAGUCUAAUAUGCGUAGAUCUUAUCCUGAGCUCUUUAUUGAUUCGGGUGUUUCUUUGCCUUAGUUCGAGGACAAACUAGACUUUUAGUGGUGGAUGAUGUAAUGACCUAAAAAUUUGAUGAAAUAUGUAAAAUUUAUAAUUUUAUAUUAUUUGAGUGUUUUACCUAUCCCCAUAGUUGCAUUAUGAUAUUUCUGGGGUGUGGGAAUGAUUGAUAUUAUUUUCGAUGCAUUUUGGUACCAUUUAUAUGAUAUUGUGGGUUUUUAUGGCUUUAUGAGCCUUAUUUUAGACUUAUGGAGAUAUCUUUUAUUCCGUGUGAUGGAUGGACGAACAGACUGCGGCAGCAGCUCUGGUAUAUCAAUUUUAGGCUAGGUAGACCUUUGGUUUGGGUCCCGGUGCACCAGAGCUCAUUUCAACCUAUUGGUUAAAAAGUUGAAAAAAUUAGAAAUAUGGAUGUGGGACCCACAUUUGGUCAAAAUGACCUCAGAUGAAAAUUUUGACUUUGCUAGUAGAUCCAGAACAUCGAUUUUAGAGUGGUGACAUAUUUGAUGUAAUUUUACAAAUUUUAAAUCUCAUUUUGACCCUCGGUUUAGAAAAUUAUAAUUUUGGGUUUUAGCGGUCGACUUUGUGAAAAUGAUAUUUUUUUGAAAUUUUGAUAUCGCCAUUGAAUUUGGAGCGUUGAAUUUAGUGUGGUUACAGUUCGUUUUCAUGUAUCGAACUCUAAUCGAAUUGGGCACCCCGUCGAAGUCUGCUUCAAAUUAAAAAUAUCUGGUGCACCAUGUUGUUGGCGCAACCAGAUACAUAAAGCGUAAAUCGGGAUUAAGGAAUGAGUUUUAUGUGUUAAAUGUCUGGUAAUUCGGGUACAGUAUAGAUAACCCUUUUUAUUCAGAUUUUGCUCAUUCUGUCACAUUCCUCUUAAGAGUUAAACCCUAAAAUAGUGUGAGAGCUUAAAAGUGAAGCUUGUGGAAGUUUGAGAAGCUAGAUUAACAUAUAUUUCUUGAUUUUAUUACGAAUUUAAGGUAAGAAUUCACCCUUUUCUUAGUAAUUUCUUGAUAAUUUCUCAAAACCCCAAAAAUCUUAGGACUUGAUUUUAAACCUCAAUUUCACUUAUUUUCACUUGAAUAAUGUUUUUAUCUUAUAAUUACUAGUUUUUCAUCAAAUUAACCUUCAAAACUACUUCGAUUCUUGAUUUUAACUCGGAUUUCAAAAAUUUUACCCGAUAAAGCUCAAAAAUAGUUUUUCUUCGAUUUGAACCUCAUUUUUUACUCGAUAUGACUUGGGUUUUCAUCUGUAUAUUCCUAAAAAUAUGGGAAACAUGUUUUUAAAGUAAAGUUCUAAUUUUUCCCUUCUUUUUUGAAAACCCAUUCUGGGGGUCCGUUUUUACCCCAAAUCAAAAGUAGUCAAUGUGGGUAUCGUUGGUUUUGUUUUGAUGCAUAGAUUUUAUAUUUAAUAAUUUUAGAAAAGUUCAAGAUUGUUCGUGGAAAGUAAAGUUGUGGGUUCGAAGUGUAGUUGACUAGUUUCGGCUUUCGAGAUAGGUUAUGGCUUAACUCUUUCAGACUGGACUGGAUAGUAAAUGAUGAUACAAAAUGCAUGUUAAGGGUGGAAACUAAUAAUAAAAAAUGACUAUUUAUGUUUUGUAUUCGUGUGGGGGCCUAUAUAUGAUGUAAUUGUCGAAAUUGAGUUAUUAUGUGAUGUGUGUAACCGUGUGGGGUUCUAUGGGAUAUUGAUAGCCUUGAAUACAUUUGAAUAAUUAUAUUGUGUUGUUAAGAUUCUUAAUAUGUUACCAUUGGUGUAUUUUUAUUAUAUGCAUACUUUAUUGUCAUACGAGACAUAUGGAAAUUCGUGGAUGAAACUGAAAUAAUGAGUAGCUAUUGGUUCACGUGGUUGUGGAAAUAUAUCAUUCUAGUUGAUUAUGAAAAAGACUAAUUGUGAUUGGUUGUGAGCAUUACAUCCUCAUAUCAUACUCAUUCAUGAAACAUUGGUACCACCAUGGCAACAUAUGAGAAACACUGGCAACACCUUUUUAAAACCCUUCCCGAGGGAUGUGUUGAGGAGGAUAUAUUGUAACACCUUAUAAAAUUUGUUUCAAGGGAUAUGACGAAAAAAAGAUAUGCGAUAUGUGAAUUGUAUAUGAGUUGAUGAACCCCCCAUGGGUCCUACGAUAGGAAGCUUUAGCUCUGUAGGUGUAUACGGGGAUUGUGCGACGAUCCCAGAGGUUGUGCGACUACCUCGUGUAUUAUCAUCAUCAUCAUCAUGUACAUUGCACUUACUUUAUUGUAUUUAUAUUUUGUUGUAUUGCCAUAUUGACUUGUAAUCUAUGUAUUUAUCUUACCUUUGUUUACUUGUAUUUGAUGAUCUUGUGUCUAUACAUUCUCCCUCUUCUAUUUAUAUGUGACAUAAUGUAUACUUGUUUUCUAUAUCUUGGUGUGUUGUUUUAAUAAAUAUUAUAUAUUAGAACUUUUAGUGCCAGCGGUGGGAUACCGUUGUGGGACAUUUUCUGAUUGCAGGUGACGUGCCCUUAGUUUAUAUUUUGUAUGCUUUAUUUACUACUUUGCUUGGUCGGCGUAUAAUACCUAUUGAGUACAAGUGGACCGUACUCAUGGCUACUGCGCCCUUUCAGUGUAGGUCCUAGCUUGAAUGUGCCUCAACUUGCUUGAUUCAGGCGACUGUUGGAGUUUCCAAGGUAGUGAUUGGACAUUCAUGCGUCCGAAGUUCACCUCUAUCUUUCUAUAGUAGUUAUGUCUUUAUUAGUAUUCAGAGAUAAAUAUUAUUUUUUUAUGUUUAUUUUUCUGAUGUAUUUGAUCUUGGAUUAUAUUAGUAGUUCUUACACUAUUAACACCUAGUUUUGGGCAUGAUUGAUAUUUUGGAUAAGCUCUUUUCAUAUUGUUAUAAUUACUUAUAUGGUUCGGCUUCAUUCUAGAAGCCUUACCUUGAGAUAUUUCUGUCUUUUUCUGUUUUUGUAUCAGUUUGAGUAAUAGACUUACUUGUCAAGGUACGCCAUGACAAGUGCCAUCAUGACCCUCAUUUUUGGGUCGUGACAUUACCCCCUUCCAUUGUAGUUUUGGUUAUUUAUCUCCCUUUUAAUUUAUGUUCCUUUUAUUUCUCUACUUCUGUUUUUCCAUUUCCGUUUUUCUUUUUUUGGUCCAAUUUCCUUUUUUCUUUUUUUUUACCUUUUUAUGCUUCUUUGUGUUAGGAUAUACGAUAAACCAUGCAUUUUGAUAUAGUAUUAUUUAUUGAAUAAUUACCUAUUAAUUAAAUUCAAUAAAUUGUUACAAUAAAUAGAUCAUUGUCGUAGAUGUGUCCUCAACUUAUAUAGUAGAUGGUUUGUUGUAUAGAUUUUAAGUUUAUAAACAGAAGAUUAAAUCACCGUUAUUAUAAUUUAAAGUUCUAAUUCACAAUCGUAGAUGGAAAUUUAAACAAACCAUCAAAAUGAUUAUAGCAUAAGAUUAAAUGUAAUUUAUUUUGAUUAAGAUAAUGGUAUAGUUCUAACUUCUCAUGCUAGUGUAUUUUGUAUGUGUUAAAUAGGACCGAGUAGAGAUAGUUGUUUUAGACUGACUGAUAAAAACACAUUCUCUAAACUGUUAAAUGUACUUAUAUUCUCAACCUUGAUAUAACUAUUAUGAUAUAUAUUAUUUAUCAUUUUGAUUUAUUAAAAGGUGAGAUUCUGAGAUGGGUCAAUAUUCCUAGUAGAUUAGAUGAAAUAAUAUAUAUUGAUAAAAUAAUAAGUUAGUUGAUGGAAUUCAUGUCUCAAUGUAGAGAUUGAUGAUACACGUUUUAUGAGAAGCUUAUAAGUUUUCAUGUGUAAACCCGACCGGUGGAUUUGAUAAUCCAACAUAUGAAAUUAGCUAAGAAUUGAUCUAAAGAAAAUUAAUCAUUAUAUUAAAUUCGUUAGCAAUUUAAUUUAUUGAUUAGUAUCUGUAAUCUUAACAUGGGAAAUUAUAUAAGUGUUUAAUGAGAAAUUUUAAAUAAAAAUAGAGGAGUAUAAUUACAAAUUUUUAGGGGAAUGAUUUGUAAUUUAUUAUUGUAAGAAUAAUUCAAACUAGUAUUUUGAAUUAUUUCCAUAAUAGAGAGCAUCAGUAAUUAAUUUCAUGGUCCCUCCAGUGCGUAUAUUAAAUUAAAACUCGGAAUCCUACUUUUUAUGGGAAAAGAAGUCACUAUUUUUUCCUUGUUCAAGUAAAAAACAAAAGUCUGUUUUUCUUUUCUUACUGGACUAAGAGAGUAUCUUUUAAACAGGGAUUCCCCUAACCUAAAAAUUCAGUUUUCUAUUCAGUACUUACCCAGCCAAGUAUUAAGAGAGUUCGGCUGUGAAUUUGGGAUCACUGUAGAAGACCGCAAAAUCGAAGAUGAAUUUUCUUCACGAUAUCUUCUCAUACUUGAAGAGAUUUUCUUGAUUAAUUUUAAGCGCGAUUUGUGUGAACUAAGUGUAUGUUUGUUGUUUAUAAUUCAUGUAAGCACUAUGUUUCUGAAACGCUUCCAAUGUGUACUUUCUAACACUUUGUUCAUUUAUUUUUUCGUAAAAUUACUUUAUUAUUUAUUUUCUUUUUACACAAAUUUUAUCUUAUACACUCGUUUUUUCUUUUUUCCCUUAUUUAUUUUUAAUUCAUUUAUCUUUUUUACUUCUUUUUUUCCCUACUUGUAUUCUCUUUUUUUCCUUAUUGAUUCCUUUAUUUUUACAUUUUUUAUUAUUUAUUUUCUCUUUAAUUUCAAUUUCUUUAUUUCUUGUUCCUUCUCUUUUCUUUUAUUUCUUUAUUAUUUUUUUAUCUUUGCAUUUUUUAUUUUUUAUUUUUCUUUAUUUUUUAAUUUCUUUAGUUCUUGUUCCAUUCCUUUUCUUUUUUUUUGUUUGUUUCUUUAUUCUUUAUUUUUUCCUCUUUUUUGCAUUUAUUGAUUUGUCAAAUCAUAAUAUUCUUUAUUUUUUCACCACACGGUAAUUUCAUAUUUUUUGUCCUUUUUCAUUUUGUUUCUUUUCUUUUCUUUCUUUCUUUAUUUAUUUUCUUUUGUAAUUAUAUUUGAUUCGUUUUUCUUUUUUUAUUUCUAGUUUUUUGCAUUUUCUUUAACUCGUAAUGAUACCAUAGUAGUAUAUCUAUAUAUUGUCAUGGUAUCUUUGAUUCCUGCUUCAAUUCUUAGUGAGGCCUUCGUGAUAUCAUCAUAAUAUAUCUAUUUACUAUCAUAGUAUCAUUAAUGUUUGCUUCAAUCCUUCGGUCAGACUUCAUGGUACCAUCACAAUAUAUAUAUAUAUAUAUAUAUAUAUAUAUAUAUAUAUAUGACACGACACAAAAAAACAAGGGGCAUAAUGGCACUUGUCGCGAUGUGCCUUGACAAGUAAGUCUAUCAACCAAACUGAUACACAAAGGGAAAAAUCAUGAUGGAACUUGUCGCGGCGAGCCUUAACAAGUAAGUUUAUCACCCAAACUGAUACACAAAGGAAAAAAAAGAAGUGCCCCCAAGGUAAAGCUUCUUGAAUGAAGUCGUGCCACAUAGAUAUGAUAAAAGUGGAAAUAAUAAAAUCAACACGUGCAGCCAUAACUCUCAAAACUUGGGUCGACAGUAUAAGAACGUAUCUAAAUACAACUCGAAUCUAAGAAAAUACAUAAGAUAUCCAAUUACAGGAGAAACUCUGUCUCUGAAGUAAAAGUAAAGACAUAGUCUAUAUAGAAAGGUAGCAGAAGACAUUCGAAUGUCUGAAAAUCAUCAACUACCUCCAAAGCUUCAAACAACAAGUAUAACACAAGUAGACAUUAUAUCACAUGUAAGUAUAAAUAGAGAAGAGCAUACAUAUACAGGAUGGUCAAGUAUAAGUAACAGGACCUAAAGCAAGUAGACAUAUAGCAAGUCAAUACGUAAAUUCAAUCACAACAUCAACCCAAUAAAGCANNNNNNNNNNNNNNNNNNNNNNNNNNNNNNNNNNNNNNNNNNNNNNNNNNNNNNNNNNNNNNNNNNNNNNNNNNNNNNNNNNNNNNNNNNNNNNNNNNNNNNNNNNNNNNNNNNNNNNNNNNNNNNNNNNNNNNNNNNNNNNNNNNNNNNNNNNNNNNNNNNNNNNNNNNNNNNNNNNNNNNNNNNNNNNNNNNNNNNNNNNNNNNNNNNNNNNNNNNNNNNNNNNNNNNNNNNNNNNNNNNNNNNNNNNNNNNNNNNNNNNNNNNNNNNNNNNNNNNNNNNNNNNNNNNNNNNNNNNNNNNNNNNNNNNNNNNNNNNNNNNNNNNNNNNNNNNNNNNNNNNNNNNNNNNNNNNNNNNNNNNNNNNNNNNNNNNNNNNNNNNNNNNNNNNNNNNNNNNNNNNNNNNNNNNNNNNNNNNNNNNNNNNNNNNNNNNNNNNNNNNNNNNNNNNNNNNNNNNNNNNNNNNNNNNNNNNNNNNNNNNNNNNNNNNNNNNNNNNNNNNNNNNNNNNNNNNNNNNNNNNNNNNNNNNNNNNNNNNNNNNNNNNNNNNNNNNNNNNNNNNNNNNNNNNNNNNNNNNNNNNNNNNNNNNNNNNNNNNNNNNNNNNNNNNNNNNNNNNNNNNNNNNNNNNNNNNNNNNNNNNNNNNNNNNNNNNNNNNNNNNNNNNNNNNNNNNNNNNNNNNNNNNNNNNNNNNNNNNNNNNNNNNNNNNNNNNNNNNNNNNNNNNNNNNNNNNNNNNNNNNNNNNNNNNNNNNNNNNNNNNNNNNNNNNNNNNNNNNNNNNNNNNNNNNNNNNNNNNNNNNNNNNNNNNNNNNNNNNNNNNNNNNNNNNNNNNNNNNNNNNNNNNNNNNNNNNNNNNNNNNNNNNNNNNNNNNNNNNNNNNNNNNNNNNNNNNNNNNNNNNNNNNNNNNNNNNNNNNNNNNNNNNNNNNNNNNNNNNNNNNNNNNNNNNNNNNNNNNNNNNNNNNNNNNNNNNNNNNNNNNNNNNNNNNNNNNNNNNNNUGUAGGGGGGUGCGCGGAUUUAAUAGGUAUAAUAGAUUCACUACUUAUUGAUUUGAAGUUUUUUUUACGUCAAGAAUAUGUCUGCAAUUAUGAAUGGACUGUUAAUUGCAUGUGUGAGAACCUUAUACUUUACAUGUCAUAAUUCAGAGAAUAUCAUAUUUCAUCGUAGAUUUUUAUUCUUAUGAAAGUGCUAAACUAUAUAAAUGGCUAUGAUUAUUUUUUUCACGGAGUUGAAGAUCACAAAAACUUUUAAACUACAUGACAAAAAGCGUGGUGUACUUAGCAUUUUUCCAUUACAGUAAUUCAAGAUUUCAUGCUAAACUAUUGUCUUCUUUUCUCAAGUUCUUCUCUUUUUUCUUUUAAAUUUGGUCAUGCUAAACUAUUGUUUCUUUUCUCAAGUUCUUCUCUUUUUCUUUAAAAUUUAGAUGUGCAAAUGCACAUGUUUUUCUAUUUCUGAAAUUAUCUAAAUUUACAUUAUUGUUACAAUUUCCUAUAUACUACCUAUUGUAGUAAAUGCUGCAACUUGAAGCAGAAAUAGAUAUUUUCUUUUAUGCGGAUGAUCGUAUCACACAACUUAAACAAAUUCAAGGGUAAUUAUCAUAGCUUUACGGUACAUGGGAAAUGAAAUGGAAUAGUGCAUACAACAUGGUCAUAUUCAAGAUGAUAAUCUAUAUCUAAUUAGAUUUCAUGAGUUACAAAAAAAAAUUAUCUAUAUAUAUUCUUUACUUAAAGAAUAUGUCUACUCAACUCCCUUCAACCUAGCUAAUUAUUAUGGCUUAACUAGUCUAUAGAUAGUAAUAAACUAUAGAGGUUUUGGAUAUUGAUUUCCUCCUUACUCUUUAUAAAUAGUAAUCACCUAUAGAGGUUUCUACAUUUUUUAUUUUAUCCUUUAUUUAUCACUAUUCUCUUUUAGUGCGAUAAAUAACAACACUUUAGUAUUAUUAAUGUAAUAAAUAGUAUAUUUCUCCUUUUAACCUUUUGAGUCAUUUAUAUUUUCCAAAUAUCAAAUUUUCCUCCAUGCUAUGAAUAGGUAUGGAGAUUUUUUAGAUCAAGGGGUAAGCAAAGAGAUCUCUUGACUAGAUCUGGUCAGAAAUCUCUUGACUAACUUUUAGAUUGAUUAUGUUAAUAAAGAAAUUUUGGCAUAAAUAAUACAAUUUGGAAUUCAUUUAAUUAUUUUCUUUCUCACUCUCUCUUUGACUUUUGACAUUCAUUUUGUCUUAAUUUUAUUAGACAAAAAAGUUAGGUAACUACAAUUUAAGUAAUCAAUUUUUAACUUUUACUAUAAUAAUUUAUUAAUUAAUAGUAUUUUCAUAUAUAUAUAUAUAUAUAUGUGUGUGUAUGUAUAUUGCACUCUUUCAACAAAAUUUGCUUUCAUUAUGUAUCCCGCCUCCCUUUCUUUUUCAUGUAUCUUUGAUUCUUUGAUGUUAAUUUAAAAUUUUAAUAUAUAUUUGAAAGUUCCAAAUGAUAACAGCACAAGACACAAUCUUAAAAGAAAUUUGUAGUAAAGAUAAGUUAUGGCGAUAUGUUUCAAAUAUUUGAUAACUUUUGAUUGGUAUUUAGACUUAGAAAAAUUACUCUAAGUUAUCAUGUAGAGCUUUAAAAAGAAAGUUCACGGUGAAAUUUAAUUCCAUGAAUGAUUGUCUUUACUAAUAGAGAAUCGUGCCUUGUAAAUUGGAUAGAUUUUUAUAGCUUAUUUUGAGUUUUAAUUUUGUUAUUUUAUAGCUUCAUGAAAAUAGUUUUUUUGAGUAUGUGCCAAAGAUUAGAACUAACAUCCCACUAUUUUAAUUUUCAUAUAUCAUAAACUAGUUUAGGUGUACGCGCCUUGCGUGUACCUCACUUUAAUGAGUUCAAACAUUACAUUAAAUAGGAUAAUGUUUAAAUAAUAAAGAUGAAUAUAAUAAUUAAAUUUAAUAUCUUUUGAGUGUGUAAAGAUGGAGAAUUUAUUUAUUAAACCUAAUCUUUACCAAAAUAUUUUAAAAGUCGAUCGACAUUAAUCUACCAUCUGUAAAUUGCAACAAAAUAAUACAAUGAUAGAGACAUCAAAAUAAUACAAUUAAAUCUAAUCUUUACACACAAAAAUUUUCUCAAAGUCUUCCGACACUUAUCUACCACCUGUAAACAAUAACAAAAUAAUACGAUAAUAGCGAUAUCAUAAUAAUACAACUAAACCUAACUUUUACAUAAAAAAAUUCCUCAAAGCCGACCAAUAUUUAUCUAUCACCUAUAAACUGCAGUAAAAUAAUACGAUAAAAGUGAUAUAAAAACAAUACAAUCAAACUUAAAUUUUACACACAAAAAAUUUUCAAAGCCGAUCGAGAUUCAUCUAAGAACUAUAAACUACUAGAAAAUAACAAACUAAUAGAGAUAUUGCGAUGAUACAAUUAAACAUAACCUUUAUCUAAAGAAAAAAUUCAAAGCCGACCCACAUUCAUCUAGCAUCUGUAAAUUAAAAUAAAAUAAUUAGAUAAUAACGAUAUCAAAACAAUACAAUUAAACCUAACCUAACACAAGAAAUUCUUCAACGCCAACCGACAUUCAUCUAUGACAUGUAAACAAUAAAAAAUAUAAUAGUGAUCACAAAGCUUCGAUUUUGAUCCAACUAACUCUUAUCUGAGCGAAAAUUUUAACCUUAAAGAAUGAUUUAAAUUUUGACCCUAAAAAAUAAUUUUGAAUAAAAACAAAGAAGAGGUAGAUAUACACACGUGUUGAAUUCUAUUAUGCUGAUAAAAACAGUGAAGAAGUUGAGGGUUAGAAAAUCAAGCAUCCACCAAGCUAGACAUGUAAUCGAAUCAAGUUAGAUGAGCAACAAUCAUAUUUUCCCAAUAGGCAAAUCGGUUUGUUCUCUAGUUUAACAUACAUCUCAAUAUUUAUAGAAGUAUUUCCUUAAUAUUAAUUCUCCUACCAUAUAUUUUAGAAGUCUCAUAUAUUUUAGAAAGUCUAGUUAAUAUAAUAAAAAAUAAUUAAAUAAUUUAUAUCUAUAAUCUAUAUCUAUAUCUAUAAUCUAUAAUAUAUUAAAAGUGUGAAGACCCUUAGAAAUAUGAUUUGAACUUUUUAUCCUUCAUUAAAAUAUUCUGCAAUAGACAAAAUAAUCUUUUUAUAUAUUUUUAUUUAUUAGUAUUUAAUUUCUUUAUAAUAUUGUCUCCUAAAAUAUUGUAACGCCCCGAGAUCCCAUCCCGAGACGUCACACGGUGCUUAUGGACCCAAAGGACCACAAGCUAACCCUUUUCUGAUAUCUGUACCUAUACAUUGCAUAAUAUCUGAAAUAAAUACGGAAACUUGCCAUAAGAUUCAACACAUCUAUACAUACUCAAAUCUGAAAACUGAAUACUAAUACAUCCAUCUGAAAAGCCUCUAAACUAUCUGAACUGUGGAGUUGAUGGGACAGGUCCCCAACUAACUCCGUCAACUGAAAAUAAACAAAAUCUGAAACAAUAAUAGUAAACUGAGAUUCGUCCUCGAAAGAACUGAGAUUCGUCCUCGAAAGAAGAGGACUCACUGCUACUGCUGCUGAUAGGGACUGAACUGCUAAGGAUAAUCUGGAUCCUGUGCCUCUGAACCUAUGGUGUCAAAUAGAACACCAUAACGCAAAUGCGUUAGUACAUGAAUGCAAGGGCUCAUGCAUACAUAAUAUCUAAACUGAAUAAUCAUGAAAGAUGCCGCAUGCGAACACAUACAUGAAUGCACAGAACAUGAACACAAUUAUCACAACUCUAGAUACUGAAACUCAUAUACCACUUUACUGCAGACUGAACUCACUACUGACACUGAGAUACUGAAUCACUGACUUAUCUGAUACUGAUAACUGAGGAUAUGGAUGUGCUUACAUCAAUGACUGAAUUCUUGGACUUACUGCUUUCGACUGACAGAAUUAGAGAUCAACCUUUCUAACAGAUAAUUUUGGAAGCUUUAUCAAUGAUAAGAAAUAUGAUUAUAUCUGAAUCUGACAAUAAGAAUACUCAAUAGAGAUCUGAUACUGUGAUCAAGCCUGUCUGACAGCAUAUCUCUGAAUAUAAUAUCAAAUAAAUGUAUGUGAGACCAAGUCUAUCUGAUGGGAUGACCCAUAAAUUAAUGGAACUAUCUGAGUUCCUCACAAUGAUAGAUGACUGUAUCUGACAGUCCUGAUUUCUGAAAACUGAUUUUGAAACUGAGACUGAAUCUGAAACUGAAAUUGUGGGAAGUAGUCACUUAACUGAUAUUCCUCGACCUACCACAUGUAGGGUCCAACCUGUGCCCCAGUUGGAAGGGUGUCAUUACCGCGCCAUUAGUAAAGACAACUCUAUCUGACCCUCAUCUAGCAGGUCCUCAAACGAGAACGAUGGAGCCCUUAUCAAGCAGGUCAAGCCACCUCAUCUACCCUCAUCUAAUAGGUAUGAUAUCUCUCAUCCACCCUUAACUAACAGGUGUGAUGUCUCAACCUACUGGCUAUGUAGUUCUGGAGCACAAGGAUUGCUUCUAAGAAUCACACCCUCUACUAGUAGGUAAGUUCCCAUCCUUGAGCUCUCUUGGUGCUAGUUUCUACUCCCAACUGAAAGACUCAGAACUGAAUUCUCAACUGAACACUGGCUGAACUAAAUCUGACACUGAUCAUAUUACUCAAAAAGUCUGACUGAGUUACGCUGAGAUCACUUGGUUCCGUAUCUGACGAAAAAGAUAUCGAAUCAUGGUAUCUGACUGACGAUAUAGAGCUUGAAUAGAUUACACGAAUCGCUUCUGAGAUUAGGAUUGAAUAACUUGAAUACUAUUAGAACUGAGCUGAUUACAGGUUUGAGGCUAGAUUACUAGUGAUAUAGAGAUUACAGAGAUAACUGAGAUUACUGAGCUUUCUUAAGUUCCGCACUUAUCUGAGGAUACAGAGUUCUAUAGUUCACUGAGUUUUAAGAAUCAUGGCUCAACUGAAAUUAUCGAGAAACUGACACGGGCUCUAGACAACAACUCUAUUUUCGGGUAUAAAUACCCCCAGGACUUGAUAGCAUAAAAGUAAGUAUCAUCAUUCAUUCAUCAUCACAAGCAUUCAUGCAUCAUCACAAUCAUUCAAGCAUCUUCACAAGUAAUUCAGGAAUCUUGCCAUAUGUUUAUUUCCACAGUCAUUAAACAUCACCUCAAACAUUUUAGGAUCUCAAACGUCUAUUCAUCAUCACAAUCGCCAAGGAGUCACUUUAGGCAUCUCAGAAUCAUAAUCAUAUAAUAACGUAGGGGGAACAUGCUACUAGAUUGUACUUCCUUCAACAAGAUUUUACCUCAGCUAUUUCAUACCUAUAUCGAUCUUGACAUGUGUUUGGAUAUCCCAUGGCUUGGGGAGACUUCAUACUAUCACGUCAUAACUUACUUGCUAACCACUUGGCAUGUAUUAAAAGCUUAACAUAUAUCAAGAGCACAUAAUUAGGGNNNNNNNNNNNNNNNNNNNNNNNNNNNNNNNNNNNNNNNNNNNNNNNNNNNNNNNNNNNNNNNNNNNNNNNNNNNNNNNNNNNNNNNNNNNNNNNNNNNNNNNNNNNNNNNNNNNNNNNNNNNNNNNNNNNNNNNNNNNNNNNNNNNNNNNNNNNNNNNNNNNNNNNNNNNNNNNNNNNNNNNNNNNNNNNNNNNNNNNNNNNNNNNNNNNNNNNNNNNNNNNNNNNNNNNNNNNNNNNNNNNNNNNNNNNNNNNNNNNNNNNNNNNNNNNNNNNNNNNNNNNNNNNNNNNNNNNNNNNNNNNNNNNNNNNNNNNNNNNNNNNNNNNNNNNNNNNNNNNNNNNNNNNNNNNNNNNNNNNNNNNNNNNNNNNNNNNNNNNNNNNNNNNNNNNNNNNNNNNNNNNNNNNNNNNNNNNNNNNNNNNNNNNNNNNNNNNNNNNNNNNNNNNNNNNNNNNNNNNNNNNNNNNNNNNNNNNNNNNNNNNNNNNNNNNNNNNNNNNNNNNNNNNNNNNNNNNNNNNNNNNNNNNNNNNNNNNNNNNNNNNNNNNNNNNNNNNNNNNNNNNNNNNNNNNNNNNNNNNNNNNNNNNNNNNNNNNNNNNNNNNNNNNNNNNNNNNNNNNNNNNNNNNNNNNNNNNNNNNNNNNNNNNNNNNNNNNNNNNNNNNNNNNNNNNNNNNNNNNNNNNNNNNNNNNNNNNNNNNNNNNNNNNNNNNNNNNNNNNNNNNNNNNNNNNNNNNNNNNNNNNNNNNNNNNNNNNNNNNNNNNNNNNNNNNNNNNNNNNNNNNNNNNNNNNNNNNNNNNNNNNNNNNNNNNNNNNNNNNNNNNNNNNUCACAAAAGGGGUCCAAAUUCUUGAUUUUCUGUGCAGGGCUGACAACGUCAUCAGAAAUGUCGUCAGAAUGUGACGACGUUGUCAAAAAGGGCGUCAGAAACGUGAUAGCCCGUUAGAAACGUCGUCACCGUUUUCCAGCUUGACAUGCUGGAGUAAAAUGGGCAUAACUCUUUGCUCCGAUAUCAGAUUUAGGCAAAAUUGGUAUCGUUAGAAAGCUAAUUCAAAGAUCUUUCAUUUGAUAUAUAGAAAACCACCCAGUUCUUAAUAUACAAAGAGUUAUGGUCGAUUGAAGUUGACCCAAAUUUUGACGGUCACUAAAACUUGAACGAUAGGAAAGUUUUCAACUAGCUCAUGAGUUAGGGGACCUCUAUGAUCUUAAUUCAUGCUCAAAUAGAUUACCACAUGAUUCAAAGUAUUUCAUACUUGGGAGGAUAUUUCUUAAACAUUUUGACUCGGAUUUUCGCUUUACCAAAUACGUUCUAAGGCUCAGAUUGGAAAAGAAUUUUGCGGGGCAUUACAAAUAUAUGGGAUUAUGGCUUUAAAAUAUAUGGUAAGAUACAAUAAUUAUUGGUAAAUUUUGAAGUUAUCAAUAUUUUUGUUAAAAAAAACAAUUACGUUUUCUUUUUACUAAUUAUGAAGCAAUUAUAGUUGAACCUAAAUUUCUUUAACAAACAACAAACAAAAAAUUCUUACGGAUUAGUUAAUGUUGGAGUGCCUGCUUUAGUUUUGUCAACUUUUUUUUCCUACUUUUCCUUAAAUAACAAAAGUUUUUGUAUAAGAAACUUAAUGAACCAUUUCAAUUAAUAAUUAUGAAUUUUCUUAAUGCCAAACAUUAGACCUCGCGUAUGUAGAAUAUCUUUUGUUUUUAGGGUCAAAAUGAGUGUGAGUAAUUAAUAAUUUUAUCAAAACAAAAAAAAUUAAUUGUUGAGUCCUUCUCUAUUUAAACCGAACACUAAGUAAUAUAUAACACUUUUAAAUAUAAUUGGUCUAACUUAUGAUACUUAACACCUUUAAGUCAAUUAGAAUUUUAUCUUAUUUGAAAAAUAAUCUCUUCAAUGCUAUUUAAGUUAUUCAAAAUCAAAAUUAACAAGAAACAAAGGACUUCGUCUACUUCUAUUUUUUUUUCUUAUUUUGAUUUUGAUUCAAGUUUUUUUUUGCCUUCAUAAUCAUCAUAUUUUGUAUCUUUCUUUAUUUCUUUUUAUCAAUAACUUUAAAGAUUAUAUAUAAAUUAUACAUGAUCUCAAUGAAUUCUUCCAUCUUGAUAAUUUCUCGUGUUUUUCGUUCAGUUAAAAAUGUUGUUCGAAAAAUUAGACGAAUCAAGCAUGUUGUCACUGAAUGAAAACAACCCAAUACAUCUAAGAUUUCUCUUUUUUUUCUCCCCAAUUUUUAUGUAAUUGUGAGUAGAUUUUGAUUAUGUUAUUUAAUUAUAUUUUGGAAUAUCAUUUGUUAAUAUUAUAGUUCGAUCUUUUGUUAAACUUAUUUGUUGAAUUCAAACAUAAGGCUGUAGUUAAAUCUCGAAUUAAGAUAUGGAGAGUUUUAUUUUGAAGAGGAACAUAUAAAUUUAGGAUUAUAAUUCGCUCUUUCAAUUGUAGGUGUAUUAAUUACGUUUGAAGAUGGAUCAUGUACAUUAUUCAUUGUAAAUCGAGUUUAAUCUAUUUAUUUAUAGUCCUUAAUUAAAAUAUUUUAUAAUGAGAAAAAUUAAUUUUCAGUUCUCUUAUUUGUUCUUGACAUCUCAUAUACAAAGACGAUUAUGAACUCUGAUGGGAUAGAUAUAAUCCUCGAUAAAAAUUUAUUGGAACAUGUAGUCUAGAGCAAGUGAGGAGCCUUGCUACAAUUGCUCAUAAUUGCAUACACCUACUGCGAAGUUUUGCAUGCAAUAUUAGAAAUCACUUGAAAAGUAUGUAUUUAAUUGGUUGAGUUAUCAUAAAGCUACACUUAUAAGAUUUUAUUGAGUCAUGUAAUUGCUUCCUUAUUUGGAUGUGCACUAAGCUUUAAAUUUGCUCUUAGCAUUAGUUCGAUCUCUUGUAUUUGGAAGCUGAAUGCACUUAUUUUUUGGACUAAAUCUUAAUUUAUUAGUAUUGAAAAUAUCUGCACAUAAACUACAUUUAAAUAGUGAAAAACUUAAUUGACGAUAUAGCUAUCAUGUGGUUAACUUAAUUAUGUAAUAGACACGUCAGAACAAACAAAUAAGGAAAUAUAAAUUAUAAUUAUCUGAUAUGAAUACUUUAUCAUGUGGCCACACGUUCAACUGAAUAUAUAUAUCGUCGUUUGAGUGUCUAGAUGAAAUUUUCUUGCAAUUUCAAGGAGAUGCUCAUAUAUUCCGUUAACAUAUUUGUAUCUUAAUCUAACAAGCUAUUAAUAUUUACAAUACUAAUUCAACUAACUUCAUCAUAUUUACGUGCUCAAAAUAUAUUAAAUUCAAUCAUUAUAUUAAUAUAAUAAAUUUUAUUUUAUUUUCAUUAUUUAAAUAAAUAAUGUUUUGACUGUAACAUCGGGUACACUAAAUUAUGACAUUGAAAUCAAUGAAAAUUUUAAUUAUUAAAUUUUCCUUAUUAGAGCUGUGUGGAAAGUCUAAAAAUGACGAAGAUUUUACUUCUUCGCUUUUUUCUAAAUUACAUAUAAUAUAACAAUUAAUAUGUAGAACUUUUCUUAUGCAAAAAUAUUUUUUCUAUAUCUAUAAUUUAUAAUAUAUUAAAAAUGUGAAGCGCAUUAGAAAUUUUGUUGUUUGUUGAAUUCACACAUAUCUAUAAUCUAUAAUCUAUAAUCUAUAAUCUAUAUCUAUAUCUAUAUCUAUAUCUAUAUCUAUAUCUAUAAUCUAUAAUCUAUAAUCUAUACCUAUUCUAUAAUAUAUUAAGGAUCUUAGAAAUAUUGUUUGAACUUUUUGUCCUUCACUAAAAGUCUUUUCUUUAGACAAAAUCGUCUUUUCAUUAUUUUUUCCUAAUAUUUAAGAAUUAAAAAUUAAUUAAAUAUAUUUAUGGUAAAACUUUUCCUGAUUAGAAGUUAUCAGAAUUUUACUAUAUUUUCCUAAUUUAAGAAUUAAAAAUUAAUUAAAUAUAUUUAUGGUACAACAUUUUCUUACUAGAAGUCAUCAAAAUUAAUGACAAUAAUUUUUUUUAUUAGUUUAAGAAUUAUAAAUCAACUAAAUUUGAUUUUAAGAAGAUUUAGAAAAUGUAGAAAUAAAUAUAAAACUGUUAGAAUAAGAAAAAUUUAAGAAAUAUAGAUUUUUAAAAGUUUUAAGUAUGUAAUAAGAAUAUAAUCAAUGAUUUUGCAAAAAUUUGAAUUUAAAAGCAAGGAAAGUUUUAAAUAUAUAAAAAAAAUUGUAACGCAAAUAUAGUUUAAAUUGAUAUGUCUCUCUUAGCUUGUGGCAACAAGAAAAAAAGUAUUAAAUGAUAAACGUAAAAUUAAUGAUCCAUCAACCAUUUGGAACUUCUGGUGGUGAAAUUUAUAUGUGUAUAUGUUUAUGUUCACAUUAUUAUAUUAAAAUCUGAAAGGUUUUUGAGAAGUGAUUUGAACUUUGAAGUUUUUUUAAAAAUCUCCGCAAAAAAUAAAAUUAUUUAAUUUUAAAUAAGUAAGCGCUAUACGUGCGAGAUACGUGAGAUUAAACUAGUAGAUUAAAAAUUUGUAAAAAGACAGUUUCGUCUAAAGAAGUAUUUUUAAUGAAGGAUAAAAAGUUUAAAUUAAUUUUCUAAUGAUAUUUACACUUUUAAUGUUAUAUUAUAGAUAUAUAUAUAUAAAUAUAGUUAUAGAUUAGAGGCAUGAAUAGUUUAUAGAUAGAUUUGAGAAGUUAAUUUAUAACGCGCGAUCAAAUUGACUAUUACACUUAAAAACAGCUUUUCUUUAAUUUUCUCAACAGACCAUAUUCUUAUUCUAUAUGCUGGAUCAUUCUGCACAUGGCAGUUCCUAUCAAUUUCAGCCGAUAGAGUUCAGAAUUCUUCUACAAACCCCUCACUACGAAAAGGUAAUUUCAACUGCAGUGUUGGAAAUUAUCUUUGAUUACUCGCAUUAUAUGGAAAUAUUUGAGCUUUCUCCUUCAAUGGUUUUUUCUUUUCUUAUUAAUUUGCUCAAGAACAUAAUAUUGAAUAUUAGGGCAUUUUUACUUCGAUGGGAAGACUAAGAAUUAGAUGCAUUCACAGUAAUACUUUGAAUGUCAUUAGUUUUUGGAAGGGAAAGAGAAAACACAUGAAUCUCGCAACACCUAACGAAGGUAUUUCUAUAUGUGGGAGAAUGCAUUUGGUUAUAUUCUGUAUGUGAUUUCUAUCAGGCACAAGUGUUGUGCUUGUUUCAACUAGUAUAAGAAGAACUAGAAGGAACAUCUUCUUCAACAUAUGAAAACCUAUUAUCAUUCAGUUCAUGACCCUAAGUGCGCUAUCUCUAAUAAAUAUUGCAAAUCCUUUGAGGGAGCAUGUUGCUCUUCAGUUGUUGUGCUUAGAAUAUUAAUGUUCUUUAAGUGUAAAUUCUCUCUCUCUUGUCCUCCCUAACUUUUCUUCUCACUUUAAGAUUUAGGUCCAUUCUCCAAAGUGAAUCAAUGUCGCUUGUACUCAAAUGUGGAUCUAGAGGUUGGAUUCUUCAUGAUCUAAAUUUUAACAUUCGGGGGGUACGGAUAUGGGAGCGAGGAUUCGACUAAAAUAAUUCAAAUAUCUAAAAAGAUAGUUAUAUGUCUAAAUUAUGAGACAUGUGGAAAACUUAGAAAAUGUUAUGAGGAAAAGAUAUUGAUCAAGAGGAGAAUCCUAGAACGUGAUAUAAGGAAAAGGACUGCAUAGAAAUUUCUAUAUACAACGUACUCCAUUUUCUUCGAUUUCAUCUUAGCUUUGUUUUGAUUACAAAAAUUAUUGUAUCUGUCGCGAUAUACACCAUUGAUUUUUGUCCAAGUACUCAAAAUCGAUUGACCAAAUGCGGUACGGAUCUCACACCCACACUGCCAUGUCUACACCGGUGCGGCACCAAAAGCGAAGCGUCCGAGCAGCUUAGAAGUGAAUUGUUCAAGCAUCUAUGUAGAAAGAGGCUGCAUUUUUUGUCUGAAGAUCUGCGCAGCUUGGACUCUCUCAAAGAUCAUAAGGAAAUGUGUCAUCUAGCCACUCGACCCAUUGUGUGUUGAUGAAUUUUCUCUCUGAAUUCAUUCACAGGAAUCAGUUACACGUGGUAUACUCUAGAUGUAUGUUUAGUUGUUGGAAUGAUUAUAUUUAAUUGUUGCAGGACACGGUUGAGACGCUUUAUUCAGAAUCCAAAAUUGACAAAGUUAUGAAAUUGGCACCAUAAGAGGUCAGGAAGCAGUUGCUAUAGAUUGUGAAAUGGUUGGGGGUCAUUCGUCUCAAGACCUUUGCGCAAGGGUAUGCCUAGUUGAUGAAGAUGAGAAGCUUCUUUUCACACUUAUGUUCUACCUCAGAUUCUUGUGACUGAGUAUAGGUAUCUGCUGGCAAAUAAACAUAUCUUUUAUAGUGUUAGCUGGCGCUUUGGCAUUAAACCUUUUCAUACUUCCCCAUCAUUGUGUGCCAGGUAUGAAAUUACUGGUAUAAAAGAGGAAAAUCUACAAGAUGCCAUGCCUCUGGAGGAAGCCUGGGAGAAAAUUCAGCAGAUUCUUCACAAUGGAGGGUCAAUUAUUACAGUAAGAUUGGAUGGUGGAAAAGCAAAAGUACUUGUGGGCGAUUAUUUUGAAAAACACUUGGAUUUCUUAGAGAUGAAUUAUCAUGAUCAUCUUCUGUGGUAAUUUUAUUUUUGUUCCUGUCUUUCUAAUAAAUGAAUUAUUUUCUCGGAACCUUAAAUCAUGCAUUAUGUCCAGAUCAUGGGCUUGUCUAUACGCUGCUAUACAUUAACAUGAAUGGUUAAUUUAUCAAUAAUUCAGCAUUACAUGCUUUUUUAAGAGUACAUAGUUGCCCGGUGGAAUAAUCAAGGUGCACACAAUCUGGCCUGGACAAUACCGUACUAAAAAGAUAAAGAAAAAGAGAGGAGCUAAUUCUCAAAAAAGAUAAAGAGAAAGAGAGUAGCUUAAAACUGACUGUUGUUGUGGGUGGAACAUCAAUGCUUAGGUCAAAGUAGAUUUGUUCUUGAGAUGGACCUAUUAACUCGCUUAAUCAGGUACUGAUGUCAAGAAGCCUAGUAUUUUUCCGAGGCCCUUUCCACAUGUUUUUUAUUUACUCAUCUAGGUGAGGCGUAUAAUGGCCCUCUUUGUUGCACCUAAAAUUUUUUUGUAUGUAAUUUCCAACCCUCAGGUUUUUCUUGACGUUCCUCCAAAUGAAGGUACUUUAAUCUUUCCACUUGCUGGGAUCAUCCAAAUAUUUACUUCGCCCCAAGUACCAUUAUUCCCCAGAAGAUAAAGUUCUGUCUCCUCUACCAGAACUAGUUUUGAACUCCCACAUUGUCAACAAUUUAGAAUCUUUAAACAGAUAAAAAUAAAAUUAGAAUCUUUAGCUAUUUUUAUGCUGAAUUUGGUUAUAUCAUGAAUUCGAUAGACGCAAUUAUGUCCAGCACCAUCUGUUAUAUUCCUUUUGUCCUAAUGUAUUUUCUAAAAAAAUGAUUUUCUUGAGCCGAAGGUCUAUCAGAAACAACCUCUAUACCUCACAAGGGUAGGGGUACUUAUGGAAAUCUACUGGCUAUGUUGUUGUAAUCACUUAGAACUGAUAAACUGCUAUGCGUCAGUAGCGAUGGUAGCUUAUCUUUCACUUUUAUGCGGUGAAAUCUGUAAAAAGAAAUUCAAGAAAUUUGGAUCUAGUAAAACAUGAGUAUAUUUGUUAAAAUUCAAGGGCGUUACCUAGUAAACACAUUACCUAAUAUUUGUUCAUUUAAGUCCUCCCAUGAUGCCUUCAUUUCCUUCCAUCCGUGGGAGAAUAUAUGGUCGUUAUGGGAACUUGAUUAGCGAGCUUGUGUUGACUUCUCGUGUUCUCUGUUUUGAGAAAUUUGAACCUAAGAGAUGAAAAUAAAAUUAAGAAUUGCCGUAUCAAUUUGUUCAUGUUCUCUGAUUUUGUCUGUCAAGUAGGGUAUAUGGAAAAGUUAUAUGAGUAUGCCUUGGAGAUCUUUUUGGCAUGAGAUGCAUUUCCUUAUCCUUGGCCUGAAAUACUCAUGUCUUGCUUUCGUUCUAUGCAGAGAUGUUGCAACAUACCACCCUCCCGAUGAAUACUAAUUUCGUCAGCCACUUUUUGAAUAUCUAACCAAGUCUUAUCUAGGGCAAGUUACUUGCUCACUCUCAUGUUUUUUUCUUAGUUUUAUUUUUCUUCGUUUUUUUGUUGGUGUUCAUUGACAUUGAGAAGACGUACGACAAAAUUUCGAGUGGUACUUUGGAGAUGCAUGGAGGCUAGAGGUGUACCGAUCGAUUAUGUUAGGGCGAUAAAGGAUAUGUAUGAUGGAGCUAAAACGUGGGCUAGGAUGGUAGGAGGAGACUUGGAGCAUUUCCCUAUGGGAGUGGGGUUGCACCAAGGAUCAACUCUUAGUCUGUUCCUCUUUGCCGUGGUGAUGGAUGUAUUGGCACAAUGCAUCUAAGAUGAAGUGUCUUAGUGUAUGUUAUAUGUAGGUGACAUAGUAUUGAUUGAUGAGACGCAUAAUGGAGUGAAUGAUAGGUUGGAGGUGGAGACAAACUGGAAGCUAAAAGGGUUUAAGUUGAGCAAGACCAAAACGGAGUAUCUGUAGUGCAAAUUCAGUGAAGGGUUGCAUGAGGAAGGUGUAGUAGUGCAUCUGGACACAGUUGAUGUUUUCUUUGUCCUUUGCAGUGGUAUUAACCUCAUUUGAGGUUCAUCUUGGGAAAAGGAAGAAAGAGGAAAUCUAUAACUUAUUUUAUUUGAGAUUUUGAGAAGAGAUUGGAGUUGUGUUUACCUCGUUCAUGCUACAUUGUUGUGUUGGUAGAGAGCUGAAGAAGUCUUCUAUGGGUUUGAUUUCAUGACAUUUGUGAGAUUUAAAGCGUCUUGGUGAAAUACCCUCAAGCUCCUUGUUAUACAUAAGUCGGUAGCCCACUUAUGGAGAUUCGGUGCUGGUUUCUUCUCUACGAUGCUCAUCAAAAUCACCAAUAGCUUGGUCGAGUUAAUGAAAGAAGAUGACGGUUGAGGAUUGAGUUGCCUAGAGAUUCUUGAACUUUCUAGAGCAUUCUACUUUUUUCUUUUGUCUUUGAUUUUAGGAUAGAUUUUUGUUUCCUUUUUCACACUUUUGUAUGGUUUUUGUUUGAGACUUAGGUCAAUUGGACCUGGGUCAUAGCUUGUGGAUUCUUUUAUUUUGAAUAAAAUGGGCAUGACCUGAUUUAAUUUUUUUAAAAAGAGAUGGUGAUGUCACUCAUCGUAUUAGUGCGACGUGGAUGAAGUGGAGGCUUUUCUCUGGAGUCUUGUGUGAUAAAAAGAUUCCAUCGAAACUUAAAGUUAAGUCUUAUAGAGUGGUGGUUAGACCUAUGUCGCUAUAUGGUACAGAGUGUUGGCCAGUCAAAAACUCCUAUGUUCAGAAGAUGUAUGUCGAAGAGAUGAUGAUGUUGAGAUGGAUAUUUGGACAUACUAGGUGUGAUAAACUCAAGAAUGAGGUUAUUCGAGAUAAGGUGAGAGUGACGUCUGGGUUGGACAAGAUGAGGGAAGUGAAAUUGAGAUGGUUUGAACAUGUGAUGAGGCGAGGUGCAGACGCCCAGUGAGGAGGUGCGAGAGGUUGGAUAUAGUAGGUACGAAGAGGGGUAGAGGUAGGCCGAAGAAGUAUUGGGGUGAGGUGAUUAGAUAAUACAUGACACAUAUGGAGGUUUCCGAGGACAUAACCUUAGAUAGAGGGAUGUGGAGAACGCGAAUUAGAGUAGAAGGUUAGUCGGGUAGGAGUAUUGUCGUGUACCGUAGUAUGGUAGCUUAGGGUUUAGCCGUAGAUAUCUAUCAUUGUUGUUGUUUAUUUUGUUUCAAUUAUAGCACUAUUUUGUGGCUGAUUAUGGUUUUUCAGGUAAAUUUUAUACUGUUCCCUUGUGAGUUGUCAUAUUUUCCUUACUAUUUUCCUUUUUUUGUACUUGGAUUUGCUACACUUGAGCCAAGGGUUUUCUGGAAACGACCUCUCUACCUCUUUGAGGUAGUGGUGAGGUUUGCAUACACUUUACCCUCCCUAGACCCCACUUGUGGGAUUUUACUGGUGUUGUUGUAUUUUUGUUGGUCAAGUUUAUUCAUUAUAUUCCUAUUGUUCGUUUUACUUUGGUAGUCCCUUGCUAGUGAUGAAAAUAUUCUGUCACUGUUGGUUUCUUGUUAACAUGGAGCUUGAAUGAGGCAGUUCUGUGCAGAUGUGUUGGCUUAAUAGUUAUUUGCUUCAGCUGUGCUUAGUAUUGGUUUUCCACUUCUAGACUAGCUAAUUGAAAUUUUUGCCAAAUAGAUGUGAUAUCCAAGUUGGUUUCAUGAUCCUUACCAUGAUUUUGUCUCCGUCAUGCGGUUGUAUAAGAGGAUCCACUCACAAGACCACCCAAUAGAAGGAAGGGACUAUUAGGGUUUCAAAUCACCUCUAAGCUUUAGCAGUAGCUCUGAUCCAUGGAAAUCCAUGGCACAUGAGAGCAUGACGCCUGAUGAGCUCUUAGAGAUAUCAAGAUCCAAAUAUGAGUGUUGGUGUUUUGAUUCACGGGAUGCAGUUCUGAGGUGAGUGAUGGUGAUGCUCUUGGCCGAGGAAUUUAGGAAACUUGGUUAUCUACACAUUUUAUUUCUACUUGUUAAGAUAUAGUCCUUUUUGUUAUGAACUGCCAUUUUUGUCAUGUAGUACUUUUCUCUUAUUAAGCGUAUUCCUGUGCCUUACUAUCAUAUUCGUCUCCAUUGUAUGUUACAUCGAAAAUGAUUAUUGCAUAUAUUAUAUAGCAAUAAUCUAGUGAUAUUUGACUAAAAGCCUAUAAUUCUAUUGCAUCAUAUCUUAACUAUUUUGUGAGGUUUAUAUCGUUAUAUUGGGUGUUUUGAGCUCAUCACGUAUUGUCUAUCAGUAGGAAGAUCGUUGGAUGAAAGCGGAUUGAAAGGAGCUAACUUGGUAUGAGGAAGAAACUAAAGAUAUGAGAAUUGCCUCGCUUGCCACGCGAGGCUUCUAGGCAAUCUAAGGGAUCUGUUCAAAAAUAAAAAUAAAAGGCAUAAUACAUAAAUGUGCCCUUCAACUUGGCUGUAGCUACAUCUAUGCUCUCUAGCUUUGGUUGUGCACAAGUAGACUCUUAAUCUUGUAUAAAGUUGAAAGCAUAAUGAGUCCUACGUGGACUAAUACAAAUCAAUUCGAGUGUAUCUCACGUGACUUGUCAUGUAGAACUCAUGUGUCUACGUGUUCAACUUUGUAUAAGUUUUGCCUACUUGUGCACAUCAAAAGUUGGAGGGCAUAGACGGCAACUAAGGAUGUGCAAACACUAAAGCGAGCAUUACAUCAAACCAAUAAAAAUGUUACUGGGUUAAUAAUUUUUAUAAUGGUUUUAUAAAUUUUUUUAUUGGGUUAUUGGUUCGAUUUCAAUUUUUUCUUAUAGGUUUAUUGGGGUAACCGAUAACCCAAUAGACUAUACUACAUUACCCCUACUUAUAUUAUACUUAUAUGUAUAUAUAUAUUUACUUAUUAUAUAUUUCUCUUUAAUUUCUUCAAACUAACAAACCUAUUAAAUUUUCUAAACUAACAUUCAGUUCAACCUUAAUGAUUCUUGUAAAUUAGAACACAUCAUGUAGGAUUUUGGCUGCAACUAAGAUUCAGUUUCUUUUCAUGUUAGUUGUUACUAUUUCUAUCUUAUGAGUAUUUUCUUAUCAAUUAAACCGAAUCGUUAAAGACUAAAAAUCAAUAACAACAACAACAAACCCAGUGUAUUCCCACAUAGUGAGGUCUGGGUAGGGUAAGAUGUACGCAGUCCAUACCUCUACCUCUAAAGAAGUAGAAAGGCUGUUUCCGAUAGACCCCCGGCUCGAGACACGGAAUAGUACACAAAUUCAUAGUAAAGCAUGGAACAAGAUGGCAUAACAUAAAAAGACAAAAUCAAUAAACCGAAAAUCGGUAAAAACUAUCUUAUUGAUUUGGUUAUUGAUUUAGCAAAUUUUAAAACUAAAAAUCGAUAAACCGAAUUGAUAAUAUAUAACAUCAAAUCGAAUCAACCGAUGCACACCACUAAUGACAGUUGAGGCUAAGUUAAAGGACAUGUCGAUGCACACCACUAAUAACAGUUGAGGCUAAGUUAAAGGACAUGUUUAUUAUGCCAUAAAAAUAGUGAAGUAACAAGGAGAGACCAUCAGACGCAACUUGGGGUUUUGGCGAGUAGGAGCUCUUCUGUUCUCCUCGACCCUCACGCCGCAUGAGCAGCUUGGGAUUUUGGCUAGGAGGAGCUUGCAAGUCCUCCUCGGUGUCAGAUAGUUUUUUCAUUACAAGUUUGGUUUCGCUCAUGAAGCCUCCUACACACUUUAGAUCCAAUUAAAACCCCUAAAAUUAUAUUUUGAACGGGACAAACUACUUUUGGAGUCAAGAAGACACGAGGAGCUACUAACGGAAUUCAGCGAUGAGUUUCACCUUCUUCCUUUAUUUCUUGUUGAUUAUGAAUUGUAGUUUUGUGUUUUGAGCAUUAUUAUGAGUAGCUAAAUUUCUUCUCUAGGAUUUUGAUGGAGCAUGAGGAUGAUGUGGAAGUGAAUCUUGAUGCACUGGCCAUCCAAAAGAAAGGUAGUUUCAAGCUAAGUUGCUCGGAUUCGGGUGCGGGUGUCCAAUAUGGGUACGGAUCUAGAGGUCGGAUCCUUCACUGUCUCAAUUUAAAGAUUCGGGGUAUGGAUCUAGGGAUGGAUACGGGUGCGGGGAUUCGGCGAAAAAUAAUUUAAAUAUCUAAAAAUAGAGUUAUAAAACAUAAAUUUUAAGAAAUUAUGUGGAAAACUUAAGAAGAAAAUAUUUUUCAAGAAGAAAAUCCUGAAAGGAGAUAAAAAGGAAAGCAAUAACAUAGAAAUUUCUAUAUACAAGGUAUUUCAUUUUCUUCAAUUUCACCUUAACUUUUAUUUUGAUUAUAGAAUUUCUUAAAUUGUCUGGACUUUCCCAGUCAAUUUUGGUCAAAGUAUCCAAAAUCGGUUGACCAUUUCGGGUACGGAUCCCAUGCUCACACCCAUGUCGUGUCGACACGGGUGCAGCACCGAAAGUGAAGAGUCCGAGUAACUUAGGUUUCAAGAAUCUUGGCUUUAUUACCCAGGUAAAUGGAGAGAUUAAUGAGGAUAUCACUCAUCGUAUAAGUAUAUGAUGGAUGAAAUGGAGGCUCGCAUCUGGAGUGUUGUGUAAUAAGGUCGCUUAAACUUAAAGAAAAGUUCUAUAGAGUGGUAGUUAGACCGACUAUGGUAUGUAGGACGGAGUCACAUUCAAAAGAUGAGAGUUACAAAGAUGAGGAUAUUGCGAUGAUGUGUGGGUAUACUAGGAGAGAGGAUUAAAAUGAGGAUAUCUGAGAUACGGUAGGAGUGACUUCAAUGGAAGACAAGAUGCGGGAAGCGAGGUUGAGAUGAUUUGGGCGUGAGGUGUGAAAGGUUGGCUAUGGAUGGAUUUAGAAGAGGUAGAGGUAGGCUGAAGAAGUAUUGGGGAGAGGUGAUUAGACAGGAUAUGACGCAGUUGCAGCUUACCGAGGUCAUACCGAGGCAUGACCUUAGAUAGAAAGGUGUGAAGGUGAUACAAGACAACAAUGUGAAACACGAAAUUGGCUCAAAACAGUCCAAACAUACACCAAAAAAAUAGUCCACAAGUUCAAGAGAACCAAGGACCAAGAUGGUGACCACUCUCGGAUUCAAGAACAACAACAAGAACACGAUAUAACAAGGUGUUUAACACCCAUUUCAGCCAACAAUCCCAAACUAUAUUACAACAAUAAAAUGAAGAACAACAAUGUUACAACAACUAGACCCCCAUGGGUUCAACAACAAGACAAGGAAAACCGAAACGUAAACAAGAUACAAGAUAUAUAGUUAGACAAGUGAUGGUGUAAUCUUAAGAACCCAAGAGCAUAUUCCACUCUUGGACCCUUAACACUACACACACCAAACACCUAACUCCUACGUUGACACAAGAGGGACUUUACCUCCUCUAAACACCAACAUCUCAAGCCAAAACGCAACGCAAGUGUCUCCACACUUGGAAGUCCUAGUUACGUGUGGGGGUGGCUUUUCCAAGCCCUACUCAAAAGUGAUACACUCUCAAGAGAGAGACUUAGGUGUUACAAAUAUUUCAUGUCUUGACAAUAAUCAACCAAAUGUAAAAUGAACCCUAAAGAACUACUUAUAGCGAUUGCAAAAUGAGGACAAAAUGACCUCCCUACCCUUAAUGAGGAGAGCCUAUGGAGUGUGUUUUGGGCACAAUGAAAUGACCAAAAUACCCUUAAUGAAGCUGCCCCAAAAUGAAGUGAGUCAUUAAGGGUCCAAACCCGAGAGUCCUCAAGUCUUCAAGGCUCCAACCAACCUUCCACACUCGGGUUUGUUUAAUGACAUGCUCAAAAUGAGGCUUCCUUGUGCUCUCGGGGUGACCAAGUCUUGAGUCUUUAGGUGUUGGCCUCCAAAGAUGUCAUCUAAAGCGAAGGCGACAAUUUUGACUUGUAUCAUCCUCCCCUCCUUGAAAAGGAUUCGACCUCGAAUCCAUACCUUGCAAAACAAGAGAAAGGACAAACAAGCACAACUUCCUCAUGGCAUGAGGGUUAGAGUUAGCACAAUAAUAAACAUCAUCAUGCCAAGGCAGAACACACAAAAAGUGGUACAAAACAGUCCGCAAACAAGAAUAUAACUUGGCACCCACAAGUUGCAGUUCACAUAACUUUAAGUGUGUCAAACAUGGAUGCACGUAUAUGAGCAACACUCCAAAGAGGCAAUGACACAUUUGCCCUAGGGGUUCUCUAGUAAACACAAACCACCAUUAACAUCAAAGGGAUCACAAUUCAAGUCAUCAUAAAUAUCAAGUAAGUCAUCCCCAUAGUUAUCAAGCAAGGGUGGUGUGUUAUGCAAAGGAUCAUAAUUGACAUCAUUUUUCAAGGAAUAGCCACAAUUCGGGUUUCCCAAGCAAACAAGCAAGUCAAGGUCAUCUUCACCCGAUUGGCUAUUCCUUUCCAAGACUACACAUUCCCUGCCCUUAAGAGUACUCUCAUCUUCCAAGAAGAGAUUUCCAUCUUGAGGAGGAAUGUUGUCACACCAUAGUGGAUUAGCAUAUAGGAUAUAGCUUUCAAGACAAGCUAAUACUAUCAAUAUAACCACUAGGUUCAUUAGGAGUGAUCGUACUAUCUUCAAACAAGAUAUUAUGCCUAAAGAGAGUGGGAUCUAUCCCGCGGACAGAUUCGGAACCUUCACUCUCUAAGGGAUCAUUUUCAAGUUUCAAAGUGGUUUCAAACGCAUGAUUAUCCCUAUGAGUCAAGCAAACAUCAUAAUAUUUAUCAAAGAACAAACUCACGGGUUCACUCCUAGCAGUGUCAAGAGUAUCACUUCGGGAAAGCUCAUGCAACUCCUUCGGCAAACUACCAACUACAUCCACUUGGCUACUACUAGCCACAUCAUAACAUUUUAAGUUUGUAAGAGUGUAGGAGAUAGCUUCGUUACCUUGUAGCUCAUUUGAGCUACGACCUUCAUCUUGACGUGGGUCCGGGCAGUCCACUCGCUCCCUUGGAACUCCCAUAUGAUCCAACCUUUCAUUUAUCACUUUCCAUUGACGGGCCAUGGCUUCAAGUUUAGCCAAAAUAGCAAUUGUAGUGUCAUUGCCCAAGGUUUGAGAGGUUGAAGCCAUGGGUACCUAAAAACAAAACAAACUCACAAAGCAAAACAAUUAGUUCACAAGAUCCUCACCACACUCUCUCACACUUUGAUCGUCUCACACUCGGUUUCACAAGUGUUGCAAGUCGGCUUGUAGUUCGUGAUGAGUCGAGGGGUGAGUCUACUCCUUGGUCGGAAUGGAUUCUUUGCUUAAAGACUCAAGAAAGUAAUGUACGAACUUGAACCAAGAAAUACUACAAUUUAAAAACAAUAAAAGCACAAAAAUAACGCUAACACGAAGAAACGUAUUCAAAAACUAAUUUACAACUUAGUAGGUGUUUACUAGUUGUCAAUUAGUACAAGAAUCAACAACAAGAAACUAAGAAUCCAAAUUUGAGCCUAAAAGUUGUCGUGUGAACAGUAAAUGUGAUGUGGCAGUCACGUAAUGGGUGCGGUCUUAACAAUUUUUUUUUCCCAAAUUGGAAGUCUUGAUCAAUUUGUAAGUUGGAAAUGGUGGGAAUUGGUUUGGAGGGAAAUAUAAGUCUUGACAUCCCUUUUUAAAUUCAAAGAUUGAAUAUUUGACUUUCUUGCACUUUCUCCCUCAAGACAAGGUCCUUAAAACAAGGGAAGCGGUUGAGAUGUGAUUGACAAGUUCUUCAGUGAUUGCAAGUCUUUCAAGACAAACAAGGCUUCAACUCUUUUUCCUCACCUUUAUAGAUCUAGCAUUCACUUUAUUUUAACAAGACAUGAAGGUGUGAAGAACACAAGAAUAACAUCAACAACCACACGGCCUAACCAACUCCACAACAACAACAAGACCACCAUAAUCGGCCAAGGUCACAACAACUUCAUCACACGGCAAUGUUCACAUCAACAACAUUAGCAACAUAAGCUCAAGUUUAGAUAUAGACUCAAAAGUGUUAGUGAAGAACAAUACUAAUACUAGAAACAACUAAACAAGUAAAAGACACCUAGACCUAGACUCCACAAUCUCGGCCAAGACAAGAACAACAAGUUCUAGGCCAAGAACGGGCAGAUUACUCCUUUUCUGGAAUUUUUCAGCUUUCAACUCUUUUUUUCUUUUUGAUUUUUUUCAACUCUCAAGCCUAAGAUUGAUCUUGUUAGAACAAAAUCAAAGAUGGCUCUGAUACCAAAUGAUACAAGACAACAAUGGGAGACACGAAAUUGGCUCAAAACAGUCCAAACAUACACCGAAAAAACAGUCCACAAGUUCGAGAGAACCAAGGACCAAGAUGGUGACCACUCUCGGAUUCAAGAACAACAACAAGAACACGAUAUAACAAGGUGUUUAACACCUAUUUCAGCCAACAAUCCCAAACUAUAUUACAACAAUAAAAUGAAGAACAACAAUGUUACAACAAGAAGACCCCCACGGGUUCAACAACAAGACAAGGAAAACCAAAACUAAAACAAGAUACAAGAU
rnacentral:lncRNA from 1 species